rnacentral:rRNA from 1 species
GAUGAACGCUAGCGGCAGGCCUAAUACAUGCAAGUCGAACGAUACUUUCCAGCUUGCUGGAGAGGAAAGUGGCGCACGGGUGCGUAACGCGUAUGCAACCUACCUUCAUCAGGGGGAUAGCCCGGAGAAAUCCGGAUUAAUACCGCAUAAAAUCACAGGAUGGCAUUAUCCAAUGAUCAAACAUUUAUGGGAUGGAGAUGGGCAUGCGUGUCAUUAGCUAGUUGGCGGGGUAACGGCCCACCAAGGCGACGAUGACUAGGGGAUCUGAGAGGAUGGCCCCCCACACUGGUACUGAGACACGGACCAGACUCCUACGGGAGGCAGCAGUAAGGAAUAUUGGUCAAUGGAGGGAACUCUGAACCAGCCAUGCCGCGUGCAGGAAGACUGCCCUAUGGGUUGUAAACUGCUUUUAUCCGGGAAUAAACCUAAAUACGUGUAUUUAGCUGAAUGUACCGGAAGAAUAAGGAUCGGCUAACUCCGUGCCAGCCGCCGCCGUAACAC